rnacentral:rRNA from 1 species
AUACACAGCCAUAGCACCCUGAGAAUGCCCCAUCUCAUCUGAUCUGGGAAGCUAAGCAGGGUCGGGCCUGGUCAGUACUUGGAUGGGAGACCAGGUGGGAAUCUUGGGUGCUGUGGGCU